CCUACGGGUGGCAGCAGUGGGGAAUAUUGCACAAUGGGGGAAACCCUGAAGCAGCGACGCCGCGUGAGUGAAGAAGUAAUUCGUUAUUUAAAGCUCUAUUAGUAGGGAAGAAAAUGACUGUACGUGAGUAAUAAGCCCCGGCUAAAUCCGAGCCAGCAGCCGCGGGACUACGUAGGGGGCAAGCGUUAUCCGGAUUUACUGGGUGUAAAGGGGGGGUAGGUGGAAGUGUAAGUCUGGAGUGAAAGUGGGGGGCUCAACCCCCGGAGUGCAGUGGAAACUGUCCGGCUGGAGUGCAGGAGAGGGAAGUGGAAUUCGUGGUGUAGCGGUGAAAUGCGUAGAUAUUACGAGGAACACCAAUGGCGAAGGCAGCUUACUGGACUGUAACUGACGUUGAGGCUCGAAAGCGUGGGGAGCAAACAGGAUUAGAUACCCGAGUAGUC
rnacentral:rRNA from 1 species